AGAAUCAACGCUGGCGGCGCGCUUAACGACAUGCAAGUCGCACGAGAAAGUGGAGCAAUCCAUGAGUACAGUGGCGUACGGGUGAGUAACACGUGGAUCAUCUACCUUUUAGUGGGGAACACCCCUGGGAAACCGGGGAUAAUACCGCAUAAGCUCGUAAGAGGAAAGCCGAAAGGCGCUGAAAGAGGAGUCCGCGGCUGAUUAGCUAGUUGGCGAGGUAAUGGCUCACCAAGGCGAAGAUCGGUAGCCGGCCUGAGAGGGCACACGGCCACACUGGCACUGAAACACGGGCCAGACUCCUACGGGAGGCAGCAGUGGGGAAUCUUGCACAAUGGAGGAAACUCUGAUGCAGCGGCGCCGCGUGAGCGAUGAAGCCCUUCGGGGUGUAAAGCUCUUUCGACGGGAACGAUAAUGACGGUACCCGGAGAAGAAGCUGCGGCUAACUACGUGCCAGCAGCCGCGGUAA
rnacentral:rRNA from 1 species